rnacentral:sRNA from 1 species
AUUUAAGGAUGUUCGGCUAAAUACGCAACAUCCUGUUGCAACGCCGAACUGACCCACAUUCUGUGGC